CCGCACGUCGGCGGGGGCGGGGCGGGGCCGGAUGUGACGUCGCCGCACUUCCGCUGCUGGAGGGGCUGGCGCUGCGGGUUUCGCGGGCUGGGUGCCCGGCUCCGCGCCCUGUGGAGGACGUGCUGUGAUGUUUUCUGAGGAGCCGAAGCCAUGAGCGAAUUUCGGAUUCACCACGACGUCAACGAGCUGCUCAGCCUGCUCCGGGUCCACGGAGGGGACGGGGCUGAGGUCUACAUUGACCUGCUGCAGAAGAACAGGACCCCGUAUGUCACCACCACCGUGUCUGCCCACAGUGCCAAGGUUAAAAUAGCAGAAUUUUCUCGCACUCCUGAGGACUUUCUGAAGAAAUACGAUGAACUGAAGUCUAAGAACACGAGGAACCUCGACCCCCUGGUGUACCUGCUAUCGAAGCUCACGGAGGACAGGGAGACGCUGCAGUACUUACAGCAGAAUGCCAAGGAGAGAGCGGAGCUCGCGGCCAGUGCUGCAGCCAGCAGCACCGCCAGCUUCGGUGCCUCCGCCACAGCCUCCAAGAUCUCCAUGCAGGAGCUGGAGGAGCUGAGGAAGCAACUGGGCAGCGUGGCCACAGGCCCCACAUGGCAGCAGUCCCUGGAGCUCACCAGGAAGAUGCUUCGAGACAAGCAGAGCAAAAAAAACUCGGGCCAGCGUCUCCCGGUCCUCCCGGCGUGGGUGUAUGAGAGGCCCGCGCUGCUCGGGGACUUCCUGCCCGGGACGGGCGGGGGCGCGGACACAGCUGUUCCCAUAGGCUCGCUGCCCCUGGCCUCCCAGGAGGCGGCCGUGGUGGAGGACCUGCUGUACGUGCUGGUGGGCGUGGACGGCAGGUACAUCAGCGCCCAGCCCCUCACGGGCAGGCAGGGCCGCACCUUCCUGGUGGACCCCAACCUGGACCUGUCCAUCCGCGAGCUGGUAAGCAGGAUCCUGCCGGUGGCCGCCAGCUACUCCACCGUGACCAGGUUCAUCGAGGAGAAGUCCUCCUUCGAGUACGGGCAGGUGAACCACGCCUUGGCGGCUGCCAUGAGGACACUGGUGAAGGAGUACCUGGUCCUGGUCACGCAGCUGGAGCAGCUGCAGAGGCAGGGCCUCCUGUCACUGCAGAAGCUCUGGUUCUACAUCCAGCCUGCCAUGCGCUCCCUGGACAUCCUGGCCUCCCUGGCCACCUCGGUGGAUAAAGGCGAGUGUAUCGGCGGGUCGACCCUGAGCCUCCUGCACGACCGCAGCUUCAGCUACACGGGCGACAGCCAGGCGCAGGAGCUGUGUCUGCACCUCACCAAGGCCGCCAGCACGCCCUACUUCGAGAUCCUGGAGAAGUGGAUCUACAGGGGCAUCAUCGACGACCCGUACAGUGAGUUCAUGGUGGAGGAGCACGAGCUGCGCAAGGAAAAGAUCCAGGAGGACUACAACGACAAGUACUGGGACCAGCGCUACACCGUGGUGCAGCGGCAGAUCCCGUCCUUCCUGCAGAAGAUGGCCGGCAAGGUGCUCAGCACAGGGAAAUAUCUAAACGUGGUCAGAGAAUGUGGUCACGAUGUCACCUGCCCAGUGGCCAAAGAAGUCGUCUACACACUGAAGGAGCGGGCCUACGUGGAGCAGAUCGAGAAGGCCUUCAGCUACGCCAGCAAGGUGCUGCUGGACUUCCUGAUGGGGGAGAAGGAGCUGCUGGCCCACUUGAGGUCCAUCAAGCGCUACUUCCUGAUGGACCAGGGCGACUUCUUCGUGCACUUCAUGGACCUGACGGAGGAGGAGCUAAAGAAGCCGGUGGACGACAUCACGCCCACCCGCCUGGAGGCGCUGCUGGAGCUGGCCCUGCGCAUGAGCACGGCCAACACCGACCCCUUCAAGGAUGACCUCAAGAUCGACUUGAUGCCCCAUGACCUCAUCACCCAGCUUCUGCGGGUCCUGGCCAUCGAGACCCAGCAAGAGAAGGCCAUGGUGCAUGCCGACCCCACCGAGCUCACGCUCAGCGGCCUGGAGGCCUUCUCCUUCGACUACGUGGUCACGUGGCCCCUGUCUCUGAUCAUUAACAGGAAAGCCCUGACCCGCUACCAGAUGCUCUUCAGACACAUGUUCUACUGCAAGCACGUGGAGCGGCAGCUCUGCAGCGUCUGGAUCAGCAACAAGGCCGCCAAGCGGUUCUCCCUGCACUCGGCCAAGUGGUUCGCCGGCGCCUUCACCUUGCGGCAGCGCAUGCUCAACUUUGUCCAGAACAUCCAGUCCUACAUGAUGUUCGAAGUGAUGGAGCCGACCUGGCACGUCCUGGAGCAGAACCUGAGAUCCGCCUCCAACAUCGACGACGUGCUGGGGCACCACGCGAGCUUCCUGGACAACUGCCUCAAGGACUGCAUGCUCACCAACCCCGAGCUGCUGCGCGUCUUCUCCAAGCUCAUGUCCGUGUGCGUCAUGUUCACCAACUGCCUGCAGAGAUUCACGCAGAGCAUGAAGCUGGACAGCGAGCUGGGCCGCCCGGCGCUGGAGCCCGGCGCGAUGCUGGGGCCGCCCACAGAGGCUGAGCGGGCCGAGGAGCGGGCCCGGAAGGAGCUCGCCCGGAAGAGAAAGGCUGAGCCGCCGGAGAUGGCGUGUCUUGCAGUGCCUGGCCGAGCAUGUGGACGCUCCGCAGCUGGCCUCCAGCUUUGAGGCCACCAUCACCAAGUUCGAUAAGAACUUCUCAGCGCACCUGCUCGACCUCCUGGCCCGGCUGAGCAUCUACAGCACCAGCGACUGCGAGCACGGCAUGGCCAGCGUCAUCUCCAGGCUUGACUUUAACGGCUUCUACACCGAGCGGCUAGAGCGCUUGUCCGCAGAGAGGAGCCAGAAGGCAGCCCCCCCAGUGCCCGGGCCUCGGGGCCCCCCAGCUCUAGUGCCCAGGGUCGCCGUGACCGCACAGUGAAGCUGCAGGUGGAUGAGUUCAGAGGUCUUUCAUCAGGAGUUCUUGGAACUCGUGUGCGUGUGUUCUUGUUUAAGCAUAAAGUCUAGAAGCAUCUGCA